UACGUAGGGUGCGAGCGUUAAUCGGAAUUACUGGGCGUAAAGCGUGCGCAGGCGGUUUUGUAAGCCAGAUGUGAAAGCCCCGGGCUUAACCUGGGAAUGGCAUUUGGGACUGCAAGGCUGGAGUGUGGCAGAGGAGACUGGAAUUCCUGGUGUAGCAGUGAAAUGCGUAGAUAUCAGGAGGAAUACCGAUGGCGAAGGCGGCACUCUGGGCCGUGACUGACGCUGAGGAGCGAAAGCGUGGGGAGCAAACAGG
rnacentral:rRNA from 1 species